rnacentral:rRNA from 1 species
CCUACGGGAGGCAGCAGUAAGGAAUAUUGGUCAAUGGACGAAAGUCUGAACCAGCCAUGCCGCGUGAAGGAUGACGGCCCUCUGGGUUGUAAACUUCUUUUAUAGGGGACGAAAAAAGGGUAUUCUUACUCACUUGACGGUACCCUAGGAAUAAGCACUGGCUAACUCCGUGCCAGCAGCCGCGGUAAUACGGAGGGUGCAAGCGUUAUCCGGAUUCACUGGGUUUAAAGGGUGCGUAGGUGGGUCUAUAAGUCAGUGGUGAAAUCUCCGAGCUUAACUCGGAAACUGCCAUUGAUACUAUAGGCCUUGAAUUAUCUGGAGGUAAGCGGAAUAUGUCAUGUAGCGGUGAAAUGCUUAGAUAUGACAUAGAACACCAAUUGCGAAGGCAGCUUACUACGGAUAUAUUGACACUGAGGCACGAAAGCGUGGGGAUCAAACAGGAUUAGAUACCCUGGUAGUCCACGCCCUAAACUAUGGAUACUCGACAUCAGCGAUACACUGUUGGUGUCUGAGCGAAAGCAUUAAGUAUCCCACCUGGGAAGUACGAACCGCAAGGUUGAAACUCAAAGGAAUUGACGG